AUUGAACGCUGGCGGCAGGCCUAACACAUGCAAGUCGAACGAGUGGCGGACGGGUGAGUCAUGUCUGGGAAACUGCCCGCUGGAGGGGGAUAACUACUGGCAACGGUAGCUAAUACCUCAUACCAUCGGAUGUGCCCCUAUGGGCUUAGUUAGUGGGUGGGGUAACGGCUCACCUAGGCGACGAUCCCUAGCUGGUCUGAGAGGAUGACCAGCCACACUGGAACUGAGACACGGUCCAGACUCCUACGGGAGGCAGCAGUGGGGAAUAUUGCACAAUGGGCGAAAGCCUGAUGCAGCCAUGCCGCGUGUAUGAAGAAGGCCUUCGGAUUGUAAAGUACUUUCGGCGAGGAGGCGUUACUCGCAGAGGAAGCACCGGCUAACUCCGUGCCAGCAGCCGCGGUAAUUC
rnacentral:rRNA from 1 species